rnacentral:lncRNA from 1 species
GAUAUAGGAAGAAUAUCCCACUGUGGGUGGCAUCAUUCCCUAGGCAGAGGAUUCUGGACAUAAGAGUGGAGAAAGAGAGCUCAGCAUUAAUGUGCAUGCAUGCAUUGUCUUUUAUUUUUCUGACUGCAGAUGAAAUAUGACCAACUAGUUACUUCAAGGUCCUCAUACCUGCCAGGAAGGACUGAAACUUGGAACUCAACAAUCCUACCUCUCAUCUAAUACACUACAAAGUCACCUUUUGGUAUCUUUGUCCAGUUAUGAGAAGCCCCAGCCAUCCGGGAAGCCAUCGUUAUGGUGCAGUGGAAUGCUUGCUAUAUUUCCUCAUGGAGAUGCACCUCUGGUGACAGGUGCUGACAGAAUUUCCAUCUUUGAGAGUGGCGGUACAGAGAACAUAGCUUCUAUGAUGCAUUGUCAGCUGACGGCUUAAAGUUCCCUCCUGUGUUUUCAAAGCCAGCAAUUGCAGGCUGCAUUGCUCUCACACUGUGAAUCUUCCUGUCCACUCCCACCUUGUACCAGAAUUAUGAGUAAGAUGAAUAGUCUGUUGUGGGACUCAUGAGAUCGACCAUCUCGUUCUAAUAUUACCACUAAAUGACCAGCUGGCUUUCGAUUUCUCCCCAUGCUGUAUUUACACAAUUAAUUUUGGAUGGGAGAGGUGGGACCUUCAGUGUACCUCAGGCUAACACGUUGACCAGUGGGAGCUCUGCAGGCACCUUGGAGAUACCAGGGAUCCCUCCUCUGCAUAUCAAGAAAUGCCGUAUACAUGAAGUCCCUGCAGGCAGCCAUGUGACAAGAUGAACACAACCCCUAUCGUGGGAGCUCCAGGUUCUGUGGAGAUCAAAUCAGUUCCAGGUAAUGAUGAUGGUGGAGGAGGA